UUAGUUUAUGAUGAGUUUCAAUUCCUUACCUACAUUGUUUGAAGCUAAUGAAAAAAACAAUGUUUCUCUGAAACUAAA
rnacentral:snoRNA from 1 species